GUCCUACGGGAGGCAGCAGUGAGGAAUAUUGGUCAAUGGCCGGAAGGCUGAACCAGCCAAGUCGCGUGAGGGAAUAAGGCCCUAUGGGUCGUAAACCUCUUUUGUCAGGGAGCAAAGGCGUCCACGUGUGGACGAGAGGAGAGUACCUGAAGAAAAAGCAUCGGCUAACUCCGUGCCAGCAGCCGCGGUAAUACGGAGGAUGCGAGCGUUAUCCGGAUUUACUGGGUGUAAAGGGAGCGUAGGCGGCAAGGUAAGCCAGAAGUGAAAGCCCGCGGCUCAACUGCGGGACUGCUUUUGGAACUAUU
rnacentral:rRNA from 1 species